AAUGCAUUAGAGCCAGUGCUAGUGGCUACAAACUGCGCACUCCAUGGAGUAAAACAAAGCACAAGUAUUGUAGAGGUCCCCAGAGAUGGGGAAAUCGGAGAGAUUGGGUUCCCUGUUGACAUGGAGGCAGGGGUUUGCUUGUCAUUGCAGAAGAUGGACAGACAAUGUGGGUGCCCUCUAGGAACAUGCGACUAUGGAGAAGUCCCCCCCUCGUGAGACAUCCAUGCUGGAGCUUGACUCCACUCUCCCCAUCAGUGAAAGCCUCUUCCCAGAUGACAACUGAAGAAAACUAUCAUCAAGGGCUGCCCAGAACACCUGACGGUCUUUUCGUUGCUAUGAUUGCUAUCAAACUUCUGUCACUUCCAACAACAUAUGAAACGGGCACAACCACACUUCACUUUAGCUGCUGCUAUUACAAAAAGGAAAGGGGGGAAAUAUAGGAUACCAGAUAAUGAGGAUUGAAGCCUAAUUGACUUUCUCUGCCAGCACAAAGGAAAAAAAAUAACAAGCUGUGCCUCCUUUGGCAAUAUUCAGGUUGAACAUCUUUCCUCUACCAUGCCCUUUCAUGAUGCCAUUUCUGCCUCUGAGCCUGCCGACCAUGGACUAAAACCAUGAGCCAAAUAAACCUCUCUUCCUUUAAGUUGUAUGAACAUUUUGUCCCAGUGACAAGGAGAUAAGUGAGACAGCAAGUCAAUAGGGGAAAGAAAACUUUUUUGAAUAUAUGGGCUGAAACAAUUGGAUACACACACACACACACACACACACACACUUCAAAACAGGGACCUGUCAAAAGUCAAAGAAAGGGCAGAGGAGGUGAGCCACUUCCAGCGCCCAAGAGGAGGCUUCCGGGCCGCCAUACCAAACCCCCCCUCCAAGUGCAGAGAAGGUGAGACAGCAGCACCCCCUCCCUUGCCCCUGUUGAAAUGAGAAGACAUGUAAACAAGUCUCAAAACCAGACUUCCAGAUCACCUAAAGCAACCCCAAAGGGAAACGAGAUGGAACACUCUGAAACUCAACCACCUGAACUCCCUGAAUUGGCAACAAAAGAGGAUCUGGAAAAUAUGAAAUCAGAAAUAAUUUCUCACAUAACAGCAGAGAUUCUGCCCAUACUGCAAGACAUGAUUAAUAAAUCUAGACAGGACACAGAUAAAAAAAUAGAGGAGCUGAGGAAUAUGAUGGAAUCCCAACAUAGGAAACAAAUGGAAUCCAUAAAACAGAUGCAAACAGAUAUCCAGGAGGUUAAAAACUCCAUUGAAAGUUUAUACAGCAGAAUGAGCCAAUGUGAGAAUAGAAUUUAGAAUAGAAUAGAUAUAGAAGAUAAGAUUGCAAAUAGUGACCAGGAAAACAAAAAUUGCUUUAAAAUAUUAAGGGACCACGAGAAAUCAAUCCAGCAGCUACUAGACAAUGUAAAGAAGAAUAACAUAAGACUGAUUGGAGUCAAUGAAGAAACAGGAGAGAGUGCUGAUGACAUAAAAAAAACUUCACAGAAGUGAUGGCAGAAAACUUCCCAAGGAGGGGAAAAGAAGUUGAAAUACAGAUAAGUGAGGCAUAUAGGACUCCAACUAGCCUUGAUCAAAAAAAAUCUACACAUAGGCAUAUAAUAGUUAAGAUUCCAGAAACCUAACAGAAGAACAAAAUUCUACAAGCAGAGAAAAGAAACAAAUCACAAACAGAGGAAAGCCCAUCAGAUUCACAGCAGACUUCUCAACACAAACCCUCAAGGCAAGAAGAGCUUGGAGUGACAUAUUUCAAGCCCUAAAGGAAAACAGCCUCCAACCCAGAUUGAUGUACUCUGCAAAACCAUCUUUCAAAAUUGAUGGAGAAAUAAGAUACUUUCAUGACAAAGAGCACCUUAGGAACUUCAUGAAUACCAAACCAGCACUCCAAAAAAUUUUAGACAAUAUCCUAGGAAAAGACAAGGAUCACAACUCCCAAAGCCCAGCAGUAUGAAUCUGUCAGGUGUGACAAGAAAUUAAACGCAAAGGGGGAGAAUUCAACAAAAAGAAAAAGUCAUGACAAUGAUAAGUUAAUGUGUAUCAGUUAUAACCAUCAAUGUUAAUGGUCUCAAUUCACCAAUCAAAAGAAACAGACUGGCAGAAUGG
ensembl:lncRNA